rnacentral:rRNA from 1 species
AGCGAACGCUGGCGGCAGGCCUAACACAUGCAAGUCGAGCGGCCGUAGCAAUACGGCAGCGGCAGACGGGAGAGUAACACGUGGGAAGGUGCCCUUCAGUUCGGAACAACCCAGGGAAACUUGGGCUAAUACCGGAUACGCCCUUACGGGGAAAGAUUUAUCGAUGAAGGAUCGGCCCGCGUCUGAUUAGCUAGUUGGUGGGGUAAUGGCCCACCAAGGCGACGAUCAGUAGCUGGUCUGAGAGGAUGAUCAGCCUCACUGGGACUAAGACACGGCCCAGACUCCUACGGGAGGCAGCAGUGGGGAAUAUUGGACAAUGGGCGCAAGCCUGAUCCAGCCAUGCCGCGUGGAUGAUGAAGGCCCUAGGGUUGUAAAGUCCUUUCGGCGGGGAAGAUAAUGACGGUACCCGCAGAAGAAGCCCCGGCUAACUUCGUGCCAGCCGCCGCGGUAACAC